rnacentral:rRNA from 1 species
GUGGGGAAUAUUGGACAAUGGGGGCAACCCUGAUCCAGCCAUGCCGCGUGUGUGAAGAAGGCCUUCGGGUUGUAAAGCACUUUAAGCUGGGAGGAAGGCCCUGUGGCUAAUAUCCACGGGGAUUGACGUUACCAGCAGAAUAAGCACCGGCAAACUUCGUGCCAGCAGCCGCGGUAAUACGAAGGGUGCGAGCGUUAAUCGGAAUUACUGGGCGUAAAGCGCGCGUAGGUGGUUUUGUAAGCGGAAUGUGAAAUCCCCGGGCUUAACCUGGGAACUGCAUGCCGAACUGCAAGACUGGAGUAUAGUAGAGGGGUGUGGAAUUCCCGGUGUAGCGGUGAAAUGCGUAGAUAUCGGGAGGAACAUCAGUGGCGAAGGCGGCACCCUGGACUGAUACUGACACUGAGGCGCGAAAGCGUGGGUAGCGAACAGGAUUAGAUACCCGAGUAGUCC